rnacentral:rRNA from 1 species
UACGAAGGGGGCUAGCGUUGUUCGGAAUCACUGGGCGUAAAGCGCACGUAGGCGGAUCUUUAAGUCAGGGGUGAAAUCCCGGGGCUCAACCUCGGAACUGCCCUUGAUACUGGAGAUCUUGAGUUCGGAAGAGGCGAGUGGAACUGCGAGUGUAGAGGUGAAAUUCGUAGAUAUUCGCAAGAACACCAGUGGCGAAGGCGGCUCACUGGUCCGAUACUGACGCUGAGGUGCGAAAGCGUGGGGAGCAAACAGG